AGAGUUUGAUCAUGGCUCAGGACGAACGCUGGCGGCGUGCCUAACACAUGCAAGUCGAGCGGUAUUGGGAAGCUUGCUUUCCAAUAUAGCGGCGGACGGGUGAGUAACACGUAGGCAACCUGCCCAUCACACGGGGAUAGCUCGGGGAAACCCGGGGUAAUACCCGAUACCUUUGAUUAUCGCAUGGUGAUCAAAGAAAGCGAAUAAGCGGUGAUGGAUGGGCCUGCGGCCCAUUAGCUAGUUGGCGGGAUAACAGCCCACCAAGGCGACGAUGGGUAGCCGACCUGAGAGGGUGGCCGGCCACACUGGGACUGCGACACGGCCCAGACUCCUACGGGAGGCAGCAGUGGGGAAUAUUGCGCAAUGGGGGAAACCCUGACGCAGCGACGCCGCGUGAGCGAAGAAGGCCUUCGGGUUGUAAAGCUCAGUCAUCGGGGACGAAGAGGACGGUACCCGAGGAGGAAGCCCCGGCUAACUACGUGCCAGCAGCCGCGGUAAUACGUAGGGGGCGAGCGUUGUCCGGAAUUACUGGGUGUAAAGGGCGUGUAGGCGGGGAUGCCAGUUAUCGGUAAAAACCCUGAGCUCAACUUGGGGCUUGCCGAUAAAACCGCAUCUCUUGAGUGCAGGAGAGGGAAGUGGAAUUCCCGGAGUAGCGGUGAAAUGCGUAGAUACCGGGAGGAACACCAGUGGCGAAGGCGGCUUCCUGGCCUGUAACUGACGCUGAGGCGCGAAAGCUGGGGGAGCGAACGGGAUUAGAUACCCCGGUAGUCCCAGCCGUAAAACGAUGGUUCACUAGGUGUGGGGGUGUGGUCAAAGCAUUCCCGUGCCCGGAGCUAAUGCAAUAAGUGAACCCACCUGGGGGAGUACCCGUCGCAAGGUUUUAAACUCAAAUGAAUUGACGG
rnacentral:rRNA from 1 species